CAGGACAUGGCAGAGAAGGCUCCAUAUAAUUCUAAGACUUGACCACUCAUUCUCAAAUGGUUUCCAAAAAUCAAUGAGAGGACAAAAGCCUUUGCAAGUGCCACACAUCAAGUUCUGGUCCUCAGAGUGUUUUCUGUAACUACUGGUGGCCCCAAGAAUAAAGAACAAUGAUUGGCUUCCAGAUUGGCAACAUGACUGCAGCAGUGAGGAAGACAACAAUCCACAUAGGUAACAAUACUCAAGGAAGAAUCCAAUGAGAAAGGGUUGCCAGGAAUGGUUGUAUUGCACCUGCUACUUUGUAGACUGAG